AUGGAGUACAUCAAGUUCUUGCAAUUCAAAGGCAUUGAACACGCAAAAAUCAUGAGCAUACUGGGCGACGAUGACCCCGGUGGCUACUUCCUCCAAAUGAAUGCCCGAGACCUGAUUAACGGGAAAACAAAGAAUUUAAGGAUGGAUGAUGUGGACGAUGUCCUGAAGACUAUCAACUUCUUUAGGGAGAUGAAAGCGAUAAUCAAAGAAUUCUUCUCCGACAUACAACUUGAUGAGUCUGACAGGGUGAAGAACAUAUUCUGGGUGAACGCAAGCUGCCGAGGGGCAUACCAAGACUUUGGUGAUUGCGUGACGUUUGACACCACAUAUAAGACCAACAAGUACCGUAUGCCACUUGGGGUGUUUGUGGGUACUAACAACCAUUUGCAAACUACAUUCUUUGCUUUCUCCCUGAUAAGAUAUGAGGAUGCAGAUUCAUUGAUAUGGCUAUUCAAAACACUUUUAGAGUGCAUGAGAGGGAAGGCUCCUACAUGCAUCCUUACAGGAUCCGCUGACCACUCCACAUCUCUUUCUCAUUACUAG
rnacentral:rRNA from 1 species